rnacentral:rRNA from 1 species
GACAGAGGAUGCAAGCGUUAUCCGGAUUAAUUGGGCGUAAAGCGUCUGUAGGUGGUUUAUCAAGUUUUUUGUCAAAGAUCGGGGCUUAACUCCGGGCAGGCAGAGAAAACUAGUAGACUUGAGUUCGGUAGGGGCAGAGGGAAUUCCCGGUGGAGCGGUGAAAUGCGUAGAGAUCGGGAGGAACACCAAAGGCGAAGGCACUCUGCUGGGCCGCAACUGACACUGAGAGACGAAAGCGAGGGUAGCAAAU